ACAACCCUAAGUUAAAUGGGAUCACCCAUUGAGUUCAAACAUAUCAAUAAUUAAAGGAAAAAAAACUUAUUAGGAUUCCCCUAGUAAUGCAUACGAAUCAAGAAGAGCCCAGCUAGAGAAUUGGGCACCCUUGAUGUCUAAAUUAUAGUUCGAAGAAGUCUUCGAUAGCGAACUAGGCCAAGUCCUCGAGAAAUGAACCCCAAAUAGGGUGAGAGCAUCAUUGUACCUAGACAUUAUCACACCAUAAAGUGCUAUCUAUGAGUCAAGUUGUUUGGGAAUAUAACCCUAAAUGGGCAGUAAAUUCCAUCCAAGGAUUAAUACAAGCAAGAGAUAGUUAGUGAACAAGUACUGUAAUGGAAAAAUGAAAAAGACUUUGAAAAACUAGUCAAGAGUGCUUGAAAUUGUCAUGAGGGAAAUAGAUGGGGGCCAGCAAUACACCCAGGUUGGAUGUGGAAAAUGAUAGUGGGUCCAUUGAUUAGCUCAGGGCUUAGAUCAAUUUUGGUUGCUACGAUGGCCUAAGCCUAAACUUUUGAUAUGCCCACGUAGAUGUCAUUGCCACGAUUAUGGAAUUCAACAUGUACCAUCUCGACUUGUCUUGGCAUUGGCAUGCUCCUGAUAUCGACCUGUAGGCUCCCUAUCUGUCUUAUCUUGAAACACAGGCCAAUGAGUAUGACAUGUGUACGAGUCAACGGGCUAGAAAACCCAUAAGGUGUAAGAAAUUAGAUUGGUGGGAUCCCUUUCAAGUGCAUUGUCGAUCGACCUUGAUCUUCUGAGAAAGGUUCAAAUGUGAGCAUGCCUGUUAGGACCCAAAAGAUGGUGAACUAUGACUGAGUGCAACAAAGCCAAAGAAAACUCUAGUGGAGGCCCAUAGUGAUACUAAUGUGCAAAUCAUUCAUCUAACUUGGAUAUAGGGAUGAAAGACUAAUCAAACCGUCUAGUAGUUGGUUCCAUCUAAAGUUUCCCUCAGGAUAACUAAAGCCUUUAGUGAGUUCUAUCUAACAAACCUAAUGAUUAAGGUAUCAAGGGUGCAACACCCUCGACCUAUUCUCAAAUUUUAAGUAGGUAAGAUGGUAUGACUACUUCAUUAAGUUGUGCCAUGGAAUCAAGAGCUCCAAGUUAGCCAUUUUUGGUAAGCAAAACUAGCGAUGUCAUAUGAACCAGAAACAGGAUUAUAGUGCCUAACUACAUGCUAACCUAGAACCUAUAAAGGGUGUUGGUCGAUUAAGAUAGCAAGAUGGUGGUCAUGGAAGUCAAAAUCUACUAAGGAGUGAGUAACAACUCACUUGCCAGAUUAAGUAGCCCUAAAAAUGGAUGGCACUGAAGUGUGUGACCUAUACCUAGCCAUUGGGGCAAGGGCCAAACCCCAAUAAGUAGGAAGGUAUAGUAGUCACCAUAAAAUCUAAGGUGUGAGCCUAGGUAGAGCGACUAUCGGUGUAAAUCUUGGUGGUAGUAGCAAAUAUUCAAAUGAAAACUUUGAAGGCUGAAAAGUGGAAAGGUUUCAUGAGAAUGGCACUUACAUAAAGGUUAGUCAGUCCUAAGAGAUAGAGAAAGCCUAUUCGAUAGCAUGUUUAGCGUGAGUUUUGGAAAGGAAUCGAGUUAAAAUUUUUGAACUGGGAUGUGAUGGUUAACAGCAACAUUAGGGAGUUUAGAGAUAUAGGUGAGGGCCUCGAGAUGAGUUAGCUAUUCUAUUUAAUGGCUUGCCCACCCUAGAAAUGGUUUAGCUAGAGGUAGGGUCCAGCAUCUAGAAGAGCAUUGCAUGUCUAAUGGUGUUUAGUGCACCCCUAAUAGCCCUUGAAAAUUUGAAGGAUUGAGUGCUUUCCACACCCGAUCAUAGUCACAACCAUAUCAGAGUCUCCAAAAUGAAUAGCCUCUAGUCGAUCAGAUAAUGUAGGCAAGAGAAGUUGGCAAAAUGGAUCCAUAACCUAGGGAAAUGGGAUUGGCUCUGAAGGCUGGGCAUAGGGGUCCUAGUCCUGAACUCAUUGGUUACUAGUGCAUUUGCUCAAUCUACUCCCACAGCAACAAUGGGUCGUUGCAAGCUAGCCAAGAGAAGGACUAGGAACAACUCCCUCGAUGGCCUUCCCCAAGUGAUAAAUAGUCGACUCAAAACUGGUACUGACAAGAGGAAUCUAACUAUUUAAUUAAAAUAAAGCAUUGUGAUGGUCUUUAUCGAUGCUCAUGCAAUGUGAUUUCUACCUAGUGCUUUGAAUGUCAAAGUGAAGAAAUUCAACCAAGUAUGAGAAAAUGGCGGGAGUAACUAUGACUUUCUUAAGGUAGCCAAAUGCCUUGUCAUCUAUUUAGUGAUGUGUAUAAAUGGAUUAAUGAGAUUCCCACUGUCCCUAUUUACUAUCCAAUGAAACCACAACUAAGGGAAUUAGCUUGGUAGAAUCAGUAGGGAAAAAAGACCCUAUUGAGCUUCACUUAGUCUAACUUUGUGAAACGACUUGAAAGGUUUAGGAUAAGUGGGAGCCCUCGGGCAACAUUGAAAUACCACUACUUUUAACAUUAUUUUACAUAUUCUAUGAAUCGAAGGUGGGGUACGGACUUUCUUUUAGCCCAAGGCCAGCUUUGAUUAGUUGAUCUAGGUGGAAAACAUUGUUAGGAGAGGAGUUUGGCUGGGACGGCAUAUAUGUAAAAAAAUAACACAAGUGUCUUAAGAUGAGCUUAAGAAGAAUAGAAAUCUCGUGUGGAACAAAAGGGUAAAAGCUUGUUUGAUUUUGAUUCCUAGUAUGAAUACAAACUAUGAAAGUAUGGCCCAUCGAUCCUUUAGACCUUUAAAAUUUGAAGCUAGAGGUGUUAGAAAAGUUACCAUAAGGAUAACUGGCUUGUGGCAACCAAUCAUUCAUAUCAACAUUGCUUUUUGAUCCUUCAAUGUUGGCUUUUCCUAUCAUUAUGAAGUAGAAUUCACCAAAUGUUGGAUUGUUCACCCACCAAUAGGGAAUGUGAGCUAGGUUUAGACUAAUGUGAGAUAAGUUAGUUUUACCCUAUUGAUGGUAGUAUCGCAAUAGUAAUUCAACCUAGUACGAGAGGAACCGUCGACUCACAUAAUUGGUCAUCGCGCUUGGUUGAAAUGCUAAUGGCGCAAAGCUAUUGUAUGCUGACUAAAUGCCUUUAAGUAAGAAUUUAGGCUAGAACCAACGCACGCUCUCAUCACUCGAUUGUCAACCUACAAUAGGGUCCCAUGACCCCUAAGGGCACAUGUUAUAGGUGUAGCACCUACGACAGACAAGCAUCAUGGGCCUACUUGGAGCUUAAUUCCCACUGAG
rnacentral:rRNA from 1 species